CGGAGUGUGGCUCAGUUUGGUAGAGCGCUACGUUCGGGACGUAGAGGUCGCAAGUUCGAAUCUUGUCACUCCGA
rfam:Clostridiales bacterium 41_21_two_genomes Ley3_66761_scaffold_4413, whole genome shotgun sequence.